rnacentral:lncRNA from 10 species
CUGACAACCGGUGCAUGAAACCCCUGUCACAUACUCCCUAGAUGGCUCAAUCAAUCAUGACACUUUCAUGUAAAAUCUUUAGUAUUGUGAGCCCUUAAAAGGGACAGAAUUUGUGCACUCAAGAAGCUCGGAUUUUGAGAUGUUAGUCUGCUGAUGCUUCCAGCUGACUAAAGCCACUUCCUCCACUCCCUCAGUGUCUGUGAGGUUUUGUCUGCAGCUCAUCCUGCUACAUUUCUUGUUUCCCUGAUCAGGAAGCGAGGUAACUGACGGACGGCUGAGGCAUCCCCUUAGGCAGCUUAGGCCUGCUCUAUGGAGCAUCCCUGUGGGAGACUCUGGCCUGCCUUAGUGACGUGAUCCAAAGAGUGAUCCCAGGUAGGCAAUUGCCCUGGUGGAAUGCCUUGCCAGAGCAGCAUGUGCCAGGCCCACAUGGAGGAUCAACGCAGUGGCUGAACACAAGGGAGGAACUGGCACUUGGAGUGCAGACAUCUGAAACUUGUAUUGGAUAGCCCUGUUGAACAUAGCUGUGUGGAGGUGUUGGACUGAGUCCAUUCUAGCAGAUCCAAUCUUUGAUACCAGCCAUGGGCAUCAGUGGACUGGGAGUUAUACGUGGACGGGAGCAGCUUCAUCAAUCCACGAGGAGAAAGAUGUGCCGGAUAUGUGGUGGUAACCUUGAAUAAUGUUAUUGAAGCCAAGCCAUCGCUCAGGGCACUUCAGCCUAGAAAGCAGAACUCAUUGCUUAAACUUGGGCUCUAGAACUCAGUGAAGGUGACCAUGUGUGGAUCAAGGACUGGAAUAUAGCUCCUUUGUGGCCAUGGUGGAAGGGACCCCAUACCAUUAUCCAGACCACUCCCACAGCUGUGAAGAUAGAAGGAAUUCCAGACUAGAUUCACCAUAGCUGCAUAAAGCCCACAGCCACUGGAACCUGGGAGGCCAAACCAAGCCUAGACAACCCCUGCAAAGCAACCCUGAGGGGGACGACAAGCCCUGCUCCAGUCACACCCAGAACCGGACUGGUCUACGCAUGGCCAAAGCAUGAGGAAAAUUGUCAUGGGACUUAUUUUCCUUUUAACAUGGAUUUGUGUGGUAAAAGCUUCCACUGCUUCUUCCCACACAGAGGAAUGCUUUCAGUGCAUACAUCAGGUCACUGAGGUAGGACAGUAAGUUAAGACAAUCUUUUUGUUCUAUAGUUAUUAUGAAUGCCUAGAAAUUCCAAAAGGAAUGUGUUUGUAUAGUAACACUCAGUACAAAGUCUGUAAUCCAGGAAGUGAUGAGCCUGAUGUGUGCUAUCACCCCUCUGAACGUUCCAUUUCCACAGUUUUUGAAAUAAGAUUAAGGACUGAAGACUGGUGGGGACUCAUAAAUGAUACAAGUAAAGUAUUAGCCAAAACAGAAUAAAAAGGGGUGCCAAAUGCAUAAUCUUAAAAUUUGAUCCUUGUGCUGUCAUUAAUAGCAACAAGUUAGGAGCAGGAUAUUGCUCUUUUAAUUAGGAAAAAUAGCUACAUGACUGAAAAUAAAUACAUUUGUCAUGAAUUAGUAUUGUGUGGAAAAGAAUGUGGGUACUGCUCUUGUGUCAUUUGGGCUACUUGGAAAAAAAGAUGAAACAGAUCCUGUUUGGCUCCAAAAAGGGAAAGGAAGCCCCUCCUGCAUGAUUGGAAGCAGCAAUCCUUUAGAAUUAGUAAUCACAAACCCCUCAGACCCAAAAUGGAAAAAAGGAGAAAACGUAUCUCUAGGCAUUGAUGGAAAAGGACUAGACCCUAAGGUAAACAUUUUAAUAAAAGAAGAGACUCAAAAACGCUCUCCAGAGCCAGUAUUUCAGACUUUCUAUGAUGAACUAAAUGUACCAGUGCCUGAAAUUCCAGGAAAAACUAGAAAUUUGUUUUUGCAAUUAGCCAAGCAUGUAGCCCAGUCUCUAAAAGUAACUUCAUGUUAUGUUUGUGGAGGAACUGUAACAGGAGAUCGAUGACCAUGGGAAGCCUAAUGAUUAGUUCCUACAGACCCAGUUCCUGAUGAAUUCCCAGCCCAAAAGAACCACCUGACAAUUUCUGGGUUCUAAAAGCCUCAAUUAUUGGACAACAUUGCAUAACUAGAGAAGGAAAAGAAUUCACGCCUCCUGUAGGAUGGCUUAGUUGUCUUGGACAAAAACUAUAAUGGUACCACAAAACCAGUUACAUGGUGCAGUUCCAAUUACACAGAAAAAAAAUCCAUUCAGUAAAUUUCCAAAAUUGCAGACUGUUUGGGCCCACCCCAGAAUUCCACCAGGACUAGACUGCCCCCACCGGGUUAUACUGGAUAUGUGGACAUAGAGUCUAUGCUAAGCUACCUGAUCAGUGGACAGGUAGCUGUGUAAUUGGCACUAUUAAACCAUCUUUCUUCUUACUGCCCAUAAAAACAGGUGGACUCCUAGGCUUUCCCGUCUAUGCUUCCCGCAAAAAAUGAAGCAUAGCCAUACAUAACUGGAAAGAUGAUGAAUGGCCCCCUGAAAGAAUUAUACAAUACUAUGGGCCUGCCACUUGGACACAAGAUGGAUUUUGGGGAUAUCGGACCCCCAUCUACAAGCUCCACUGAAUCAUAUGGUGGCAAGCUGUUUUAGAAAUUAUUACUGAUAAAACCGGUCCAGCCUUGACUGUUCUUGUAUGGCAAUAGACUCAGAUGAGAAAUGCUAUCUAUCAAAAUAGACUAGUUCUUGACUACUUGCUAGCAGCUGAAGGAGGAGUUUGUGGAAAAUUUAAUCGUACUAAUUACUGUCUACACAUAGAUGAUCGGGGCAAGUAGUUGAAGACAUAGUUAAAGAUAUAACAAAACUGGCGCAUGUACCCAUGCAAGUGUGGCAUGGAUUUAAUCCUGAGGCCAUGUUUGGAAAUUGGUUCCCAGCAACAGGAGGAUUUAAAACUCUUAUAAUAGGAAUAAUAAUAGUAAUAGGAACCUGCUUACUGCUCCCUUGUUUGCUAGUUGUAAUUCUUCAAAUGUAAAAAGCUUCAUCACUACCUGAGUUCACCAGAAUGCUUCAGCACAAAUAUAUUAUAUGAAUCACUAUAAAUCUUUUGCACAGGAAGAUGUAAGUAGUGAAAAUGAAAGUGGGAUUUCUUAUAAAAUGAGUGAGUGUUUCAAAGGGAGGAAAUGAGAGAAGAGAGAAAGAGACCCCCCCAUAUUUUUCUAUAUUGUGUUAUACUCAGUACCAGUUUUAAGAAGGAACAAGGAAGUGAAACUAAAGGCAGGCAGCGUGGCUCCAGGCAUCAGACCGAAAACCAGACCCAAAACGAGGCCUGGGCCGCCUGACCUUGGCCUGAUAGUUAAAAUUCAACCCAUGACCUAGCAACUAAUGUUAUGCAUAGAUUCCAGACAUUGUAUGGAAGGAUAUUGUAAAACUUCCCAUUCUGUUCUGUUUCACUCUGAAUAUUGGGGCAUGAAGCCCCUGUCACAUACUCCGUAGAUUGCUCAAUCAAUCAUGGCCUUUCCAUGUAAAAUAUUUAGUGCUGUGGGCCCUUAAAGGGACAGAAAUUGUGCACUCGAGAAGCUCAGAUUUUGAGACCUUAGUCUGCCAAUGCUUCCAGCUGAUUAAAGCUACUUCCUUCACUCCCUUGGUGUCUGUGAGGUUUUGUCCAAGGCUCAUCCUGCUACAAUAACUCACCCUAAGAAAUUAUCAAUUUUUUCCAGGGCAAGUGAAAAUGGUUGUAAAAUGCUCAGCAACCAAAGGCUGAGAAAAGCCCAAUGCCUUAAUUCCAGAGUUUGUAUGUUUUUCCAAGUAAUCACAGUGCUUUGUCUUUUCUAUAGUCAUAUUUCCAAUGUAUUCAUUCAUAGAAAAUGCUCUAGUAUUUAGUGUAACUGUAACACAUUUUUUCUACAUCAAUAUCAUAAGGAUAUUAUGCAGUGUUUUAUUUGAAUGUUUGAAGGAUUUUCUUUUCACAUCAAGGUUUUAACUUUAUCUGGAGUUCAAUUAAUUUGUGAGUCAUGGAGAUUUCUAUUUGUCUUUAUCUACUGUAUUGACAACUGUGACAAUAUUGCUAUUUAAUACCGCAGUAUCUAUUCAUUUCCAUCCAUAUAUGUUUGCAUAUGAACAGUUCUUUGAUUUGUUCAGGAUAAUCAACACUUAUAGCACAAUAUACACUCCUCUGCAAAAUCUCUUAACAUCUAGAUAUAGCUAUGAGAUGCAUUUCUGAAAAAUACAAUGAGGGUUCAAGUCAGCUUGAAUAAAACUACUUCACUCCUACCAGAAUGAUCCUUCAGAUAUGUGACCUGCUUCUCUCCUUCCUAGGUGUAGUAAGAAUAUUAUUGGCCGGGCGCGGUGGCUCACGCCUGUAAUCCCAG